rnacentral:rRNA from 1 species
CCUACGGGAGGCAGCAGUGGGGAAUAUUGGUCAAUGGGCUCAAGCCUGAUCCAGCGAAGUCGCGUGAGGGAAGACUGCCCUCGUGGUUUUAAGCUUCUUUAGCAGGGGAGAAAAUGGCGCUACGUGUGUCAGUAGCGCGGGAUCAAUACGGGCCAGCAGCCGCGGUAAUACGGCGGGUGCCCGCGGUAUCCGGAUUUACUGGGUGUAAAGGGGGCGUAGAUGGGAGUGCAGGUUCGGAGUGAAAGGCGCGGGCUCAACCCGCGGACUGCAGUGGAAACUGUCAGGCUUGAGUUCAGGAGAGGUAAGCGGAAUUCGUGGUGUAGCGGUGAAAUGCGUAGAUAUCACGAAGAACACCGAUGGCGAAGGCAGCUUACUGGACUGUAACUGACGCUGAGGCACGAAAGCGUGGGUAGCAAACAGGAUUAGAUACCCGUGUAGUC